rnacentral:antisense_RNA from 1 species
GAGGAGGCAGGCAAAAGGAAAAACACAAAUAUCUCCAAGAUGGCACUUACAAAAAACAACAACAAUGAGAAAGUAUAAAUACAAACACACAUCUUGAAGUUUAUGUUCUUACUCAAAUGCAAGCAUCAACAACGGCCUACUGUCAGCAAGUUAAAUGGCUGGGGUUGUGUCAGUCUCCCAUUACAGGAAGUAUCUUCUGGAGAGGGAAAGAAGAAACCAUGUCUAGACAAGGUGCUGGAAAGACCCAGGGAAGACAUAGGUUUAUUCCUUUCUCCACCAUGCCUCACUAUGUGUCACCAAACUUAAUUCAGCAUCAGUGCUCUCAAAUACUCCAACCUACAAUUAGAGAAACCACUGAAUUCAGAUAUCCUCCACCCAAAUGGUAAUGAAGAUUAGAGAAAGUGAUGCCCAUGCAUAGCGGAGAAGUGGAUUGCAGGUAUACCAACGAUCACAGUAAACUAAGAUGUAAAACACCUUAUUCAACAACAAGGAUGCUGACUCAAAAGCAAAAGUUGAAGCACAUUAUGAAUGAAUGUCAAAAGGGAAAAAUCUAAAGCUAACAUAAAAGAGUGUGACUACAUCAAA